AUGAACGCUAGCUACAGGCUUAACACAUGCAAGUCGAGGGGCAGCAUUUCAGUUUGCUUGCAAACUGGAGAUGGCGACCGGCGCACGGGUGAGUAACACGUAUCCAACCUGCCGAUAACUCGGGGAUAGCCUUUCGAAAGAAAGAUUAAUACCCGAUGGUAUAAUCAGACCGCAUGGUCUUGUUAUUAAAGAAUUUCGGUUAUCGAUGGGGAUGCGUUCCAUUAGGCAGUUGGUGAGGUAACGGCUCACCAAACCUUCGAUGGAUAGGGGUUCUGAGAGGAAGGUCCCCCACAUUGGAACUGAGACACGGUCCAAACUCCUACGGGAGGCAGCAGUGAGGAAUAUUGGUCAAUGGGCGCAGGCCUGAACCAGCCAAGUAGCGUGAAGGAUGACUGCCCUAUGGGUUGUAAACUUCUUUUAUAUGGGAAUAAAGUUUUCCACGUGUGGAAUUUUGUAUGUACCAUAUGAAUAAGGAUCGGCUAACUCCGUGCCAGCAGCCGCGGUAAUACGGAGGAUCCGAGCGUUAUCCGGAUUUAUUGGGUUUAAAGGGAGCGUAGGUGGACAGUUAAGUCAGUUGUGAAAGUUUGCGGCUCAACCGUAAAAUUGCAGUUGAUACUGGCUGUCUUGAGUACAGUAGAGGUGGGCGGAAUUCGUGGUGUAGCGGUGAAAUGCUUAGAUAUCACGAAGAACUCCGAUUGCGAAGGCAGCUCACUGGACUGCAACUGACACUGAUGCUCGAAAGUGUGGGUAUCAAACAGGAUUAGAUACCCUGGUAGUCCACACAGUAAACGAUGAAUACUCGCUGUUUGCGAUAUACAGUAAGCGGCCAAGCGAAAGCAUUAAGUAUUCCACCUGGGGAGUACGCCGGCAACGGUGAAACUCAAAGGAAUUGACGGGGGCCCGCACAAGCGGAGGAACAUGUGGUUUAAUUCGAUGAUACGCGAGGAACCUUACCCGGGCUUAAAUUGCAUUUGAAUAUAUUGGAAACAGUAUAGCCGUAAGGCAAAUGCGAAGGUGCUGCAUGGUUGUCGUCAGCUCGUGCCGUGAGGUGUCGGCUUAAGUGCCAUAACGAGCGCAACCCUUAUCUUUAGUUACUAACAGGUCAUGCUGAGGACUCUAGAGAGACUGCCGUCGUAAGAUGUGAGGAAGGUGGGGAUGACGUCAAAUCAGCACGGCCCUUACGUCCGGGGCUACACACGUGUUACAAUGGGGGGUACAGAAGGCAGCUACCUGGUGACAGGAUGCUAAUUCCAAAAGCCUCUCUCAGUUCGGAUCGAAGUCUGCAACCCGACUUCGUGAAGCUGGAUUCGCUAGUAAUCGCGCAUCAGCCAUGGCGCGGUGAAUACGUUCCCGGGCCUUGUACACACCGCCCGUCAAGCCAUGAAAGCCGGGGGUACCUGAAGUACGUAACCGCAAGGAUCGUCCUAGGGUAAAACUGGUGACUGG
rnacentral:rRNA from 1 species